rnacentral:misc_RNA from 1 species
GAUGAAGAACGUAGCGAAAUGCGAUAAGUAGUGUGAAUUGCAGAAUUCAGUGAAUCAUCGAAUCUUUGAACGCACAUUGCGCCCCAUGGUAUUCCGUGGGGCAUGCCUGUUCGAGCGUCAUUUACCCCCUCAAGCUCCGCUUGGUGUUGGGCGUCUGUCCCGCUUCGCGCGCGGACUCGCCCCAAAGGUAUUGGCAGCGGUCGUGCCAGCUUCUCGCGCAGCACAUUGCGCUUCUCGAGGCACCGGUGGGCCCGCGUCCAUCAAGCUCACCCCCACAGUUUGACCUCGGAUCAGGUAGGGAUACCCGCUGAACUUAAGCAUAUCAAUAAGCGGAGGA